rnacentral:rRNA from 1 species
UACGUAGGGUGCGAGCGUUGUCCGGAAUUAUUGGGCGUAAAGAGCUCGUAGGCGGUCUGUCGCGUCGGAUGUGAAAACACGGGGCUCAACCCCGGUGCCUGCAUUCGAUACGGGCAGACUAGAGUUCGGUAGGGGAGACUGGAAUUCCUGGUGUAGCGGUGGAAUGCGCAGAUAUCAGGAGGAACACCAAUAGCGAAGGCAGCUCGCUGGGACGUUACUGACACUGAGGCGCGAAAGCGUGGGGAGCGAACAGG